rnacentral:rRNA from 1 species
ACUACCGAAGCUACGGCAUCAUUUAUGAUGGGUAGGGGAGCUUCGUAUGCAGGCUGAAGCAUGACCGUAAGGACAUGUGGACAGUAUACGAGUGAGAAUGUUGGCAUGAGUAGCGAGACGUGGGUGAGAAUCCCACGGGCCGUAAACCCAAGGUUUCCAGGGGAAGGUUCGUCCGCCCUGGGUUAGUCGGGACCUAAGCCGAGGCCGAAAGGCGUAGGUGAUGGACAACAGGUUGAUAUUCCUGUACCGCCAAUAAGCGUUUGAGAGAUGGAGUGACACAGUAGGAUAAGCUAACCGUACUGUUGGUUAUGUACGGCUAAGCAUUGAGGCAGUCUAAAUAGGCAAAUCCGUUUAGACAAUGCUAGGAUGUGAUGGGGAAGCCCUUCGGGGCGAAGUAGCUGAUUUCACACUGUCAAGAAAAGCUUCUAUCGAGUUUAAAGGCGCCCGUACCGUAAACCGACACAGGUGGGUGAGGAGAGUAUCCUAAGGCCAGCGAGAGAACUAUUGUUAAGGAACUCGGCAAAAUGACCCCGUAACUUAGGGAGAAGGGGUGCCUGUCUAUGACAGGCCGCAGAGAAUAGGCCCAAGCGACUGUUUACCAAAAACACAGGUUUCUGCUAAGUCGCAAGACGAUGUAUAGGAGCUGACGCCUGCCCGGUGCUGGAAGGUUAAGGGGAUCUGUUAGAGCAAUCGAAGCAGCGAACUUAAGCCCCAGUAAACGGCGGCCGUAACAAUAACGGUCCUAAGGUAGCGAAAUUCCUUGUCGGGUAAGUUCCGACCCGCACGAAAGGCGUAACGAUUUGGGCACUGUCUCAACAAUAGACUCGGUGAAAUUGUAAUCCCGGUGAAGAUGCCGGGUACCUGCGAUAGGACGGAAAGACCCCAUGGAGCUUUACUGUAGCUUGACGUUGGGUCUUGGUACUACAUGUACAGGAUAGGUGGGAGACUAUGAAGCAUGGACGCCAGUCUGUGUGGAGUCAUCCUUGGGAUACCACCCUUGUAGUACUGGGAUCCUAACCAUAGGCCUUGAAUCAGGUCUUGGAACACCGUCAGGUGGGCAGUUUGACUGGGGCGGUCGCCUCCUAAAAAGUAACGGAGGCGCUCAAAGGUUUCCUCAGCACGGUCGGAAAUCGUGCGAAGAGUGUAAAGGCAAAAGGAAGCUUGAUUGCAAGACAUACAGGUCGAGCAAGGACGAAAGUCGGACUUAGUGGUCCGGUGGUACCGCAUGGAAGGGCCAUCGCUCAACGGAUAAAAGCUACCCUGGGGAUAACAGGCUUAUCUCCCCCAAGAGUCCACAUCGACGGGGAGGUUUGGCACCUCGAUGUCGGCUCAUCACAUCCUGGGGCUGUAGUAGGUCCCAAGGGUUGGGCUGUUCGCCCAUUAAAGUGGUACGCGAGCUGGGUUCAGAACGUCGUGAGACAGUUCGGUCCCUAUCCGUCGCAGGCGUAGGAAAUUUGAGAAGACCUGUCCUUAGUACGAGAGGACCGGGAUGGACGUACCUCUGGUGUACCAGUUGUUCUGCCAAGGGCAUGGCUGGGUAGCUAUGUACGGAAUGGAUAAGCGCUGAAAGCAUCUAAGCGCGAAGCCAACUUCAAGAUAAGAUUUCCCACCGUAAGGGUAAGACCCCAGGAAGACUACCUGGUUGAUAGGUCGAAGGUGUAAGUGCAGUAAUGUAUUUAGCUUAUCGAUACUAAUAGGUCGAGGACUUGACC